rnacentral:rRNA from 1 species
UACAGAGGUCUCAAGCGUUGUUCGGAUUCAUUGGGCGUAAAGGGUGCGUAGGCGGCGCGGUAAGUCGGGUGUGAAAUCUCGGAGCUUAACUCCGAAACUGCAUUCGAUACUGCCGUGCUUGAGGACUGGAGAGGAGACUGGAAUUUACGGUGUAGCGGUGAAAUGCGUAGAGAUGUGGAGGAACACCAGUGGCGAAGGCGACUCUCUGGUCUGUAACUGACGCUGAGGCGCGAAAGCGUGGGUAGCGAACAGG